GACGAACGCUGGCGGCGUGCUUAACACAUGCAAGUCGAACGGAAAGGCCCUGCUUUUGUGGGGUGCUCGAGUGGCGAACGGGUGAGUAACACGUGAGUAACCUGCCCUUGACUUUGGGAUAACUUCAGGAAACUGGGGCUAAUACCGGAUAGGAGCUCCUGCUGCAUGGUGGGGGUUGGAAAGUUUCGGCGGUUGGGGAUGGACUCGCGGCUUAUCAGCUUGUUGGUGGGGUAGUGGCUUACCAAGGCUUUGACGGGUAGCCGGCCUGAGAGGGUGACCGGCCACAUUAGGACUGAGAUACGGCCCAGACUCCUACGGGAGGCAGCAGUGGGGAAUAUUACACAAUGGGCGGAAGCCUGAUGCAGCAACGCCGCGUGCGGGAUGACGGCCUUCGGGUUGUAAACCGCUUUCGCCUGUGACGAAGCGUGAGUGACGGUAAUGGGUAAAGAAGCACCGGCUAACUACGUG
rnacentral:rRNA from 1 species